AGCUUUGCACAGUGGCAGUAUCGCAGCUUAUGAAGUUUAACUGAGCUUAUUGCUUAUUGUAAACUUUACCCAAUAUCCCGCUGUGCUGACUUGCAGUAACGUCAGUCAGAACCAUUGUUGAUGCUCAGAAGAGC